CGGAUUGAAGGCUGAAAUUCGCCUUCAUGAAGCCGGAAUUGCUAGUAAUGGCAGGUCAGCAUACUGCCGUGAAUACGUUCCCGGGCCUUGUACACACCGCCCGUCACACCAUGAGAGUUGGGAAUACCCGAAGCCUGUGAGCUAACGAAAGAGGCAGCAGUCGAAGGUAGAAUCAAUGAUUGGGGUGAAGUCGUAACAAGGUAGC
rnacentral:rRNA from 1 species